AGUCCUGGUUGAGUUUACUUGAUUGAAAACAUCAAGUUAAGUCAAAAAGUAAUCGUUAAAUUUAAAAGUAAAAGUCAAUUUAACAUGAGGCAAUUAAAUUUGAACCAGAAACCUAAUACAAUGGUGUUGAAUCAAAAUAAGUUGUUUAAAUAAAGUGAACAGCAUCAAAAAAUCUUUUUUUUUUUUUUUUUUUUGAGUGUAGGUUAUAUAACGCAUAUUGUAACACAAAAUCUAUCUUUAUUUGCAACAGUUAUGUUAACAGCAAUAAUAAGAAAUUUCUGUCAUAAGAACAGCCCUGCUCCCUCCACAGUCCCCACUUCAAGGGUUCUGCCCUUCGAAGGGAGUAGGGCAUAGGAAUGCUCCCUUCCGUUUGGAAUUUGCCCAAGGACUCCCACAAUCCCCACACUGAAAUCAGCUGUUAGUCAUUAGCCAUAGGACUAUAUGCAACCACUGUUGUAAAGCUGUCACGCUCAAGCUUGAACGCAAUGACCAGAACGGAGGUAAAACUCAAACAUAUAGGUUUAUUUGCAGAUAUGGCAGGAACACAGUAAAUAAACAGAAACGUUAAAGCAAACAUGAGGAAACCACGCUGAGAUGAGGGAGGACUAGAAGAUGACUUGGAUGACGUGACGACUGAAAGAUGACUGACGAUCGACUUGGAUGAAGUAACAGCAGUAGCCAGGAACAUAAAGCAGACACGCCAGGCUCCACCAUCCACCAAUCACAGCGCACCACUUCUCCUGAGUUCUGAUCACCGGCACCUGCACCUCAUCACCACCUCAUCAACACCAGCAUGAAGAGCACUCACACUCACAGCCACAUUGUCCGGUCUUGUUUGCAUCUAAACUUACCUGUAUGCUUACCUCAAGGACUCCUACAAAACUAUUUACCCGUCUCCAGCGUCUCCUGUUCUCCUCGUGUGAUCUCCAGUCCGUGUGUGAGUGUUCUCCGUGUUCUACGUUCAUCCAUUCCAACGCCAUUCAAGAUCUCCACAUCUGCAACCACAAAAGGACAGUAUCACUCAUCUUCACUCCAGUUUACCACCUUUACGUUAUUACAUACUCACCUGCACUGCUGUUAAACUCUGCUGGUAUCAAUAAACAUCCCUGUCUGUGA